rnacentral:rRNA from 1 species
GACGGAAGGUGCAAGCGUUGCUCGGAAUCACUGGGCGUAAAGGGUGCGUAGGCGGCCGUGCAAGUCUGGCGUGAAAGCCCCGGGCUCAGCCCGGGAAGUGCGCUCGAAACUGCGCGGCUCGAGUGCCGGAGGGGAGAGUGGAAUUCCUGGUGUAGCGGUGAAAUGCGUAGAUAUCGGAAGGAACAUCAGUGGCGAAAGCGACUUCCUGGACCAAUACUGACGCUGAUGCGCGAAAGCGUGGGGAGCGAUCCGG